GAUUUCAUCGGAAAAAGUCAUCAAUAACAAAGUUGUAUAACUCAUCAAGAUCUAUAACUUCUAUUUUGGUCAUUUCUUCAUUAUUUCUUCAUCCGAUAAACUGAUUUGUAAGAUUGUUUACAAAAUGCACAUCUCUUAUAAACUAUAUAAGACAUGUGCAUUUUGUGAACAAUCUUACAAAUCACUUUGUCGGAUGAAGAAAUAAUCAAAAUAGAAGUUAUAGAACUUGAUGAGUUAUACAACUUUGUUAUUGUUGACUUUUUCAAAUGAAAUC
rnacentral:pre_miRNA from 1 species